GCCGUAGGGCGCGAGCGUUGUCCGGAUUUAUUGGGCGUAAAGAGCUCGUAGGCGGCUCGUUGCGUCGGCUGUGAAAACCCGCAGCUCAACUGUGGGCUUGCAGCCGAUACGGGCGGGCUUGGAUUCGGUAGGGGAGACUGGAAUUCCUGGUGUAGCGGUGAAAUGCGCAGAUAUCAGGAGGAACACCGGUGGCGAAGGCGGGUCUCUGGGCCGAUAUCGACGCUGAGGAGCGAAAGCGUGGGGAGCGAACAGG
rnacentral:rRNA from 1 species